rnacentral:rRNA from 1 species
GAUGAACGCUGGCGGCGUGCCUAAUACAUGCAAGUCGAGCGAAUGGAUUAAGAGCUUGCUCUUAUGAAGUUAGCGGCGGACGGGUGAGUAACACGUGGGUAACCUGCCCAUAAGACUGGGAUAACUCCGGGAAACCGGGGCUAAUACCGGAUAACAUUUUGAACCGCAUGGUUCGAAAUUGAAAGGCGGCUUCGGCUGUCACUUAUGGAUGGACCCGCGUCGCAUUAGCUAGGUGGUGAGGUAACGGCUCACCAAGGCAACGAUGCGUAGCCGACCGGAGGGGGUGAUCGGCCACACUGGGACUGAGACACGGCCCAGACUCCUACGGGAGGUAGCAGUAGGGAAUCUUCCGCAAUGGACGAAAGUCUGACGGAGCAACGCCGCGUGAGUGAUGAAGGCUUUCGGGUCGUAAAACUCUGUUGUUAGGGAAGAACAAGUGCUAGUUGAAUAAGCUGGCACCUUGACGGUACCUAACCAGAAAGCCACGGCUAACUACGUGCCAGCCGCCGCAGUAA